UCACUCUCACUAAAGGAGGCAGAGGAAUAGCUAAACAUUUCACACACCUUACAGAAGACGGGAGAGGGAGAGGCAGAGGGAGAGUGAGUGGAAGAAGCCAUUAUAACUGUCAUCAGUUACCUAAAUGGCAUGAAUAAUAUUUCCAAUAUAUAAAUUAAUAUGGUUAUUUCAUUUGUUUAUGGUGAGCAUGGUUUUCAUGGUGCGCAGUAUAUUUUUGUGUUGUAUUGGGGUGGAAUCUUCUAUUCUACUUCCUGGGGGACAUAAUUCAGGGACGUACAGGAAAGGGAUAUCUUGAAAAACAGCGGUAAUCCAGUUUUCGCCUACCAGGACCAAAGAAGGCUUAAGCUUUAUGCGUGAGAUGUAUUUGAUGAAUAUUGCAAGAGAAGAAUGUAACGCGGGUCAUUUAACGUUUGAAUGGACCCCGGUUGUGGAAUAUUGUUCUUGAAGAAAUGUUAUGAAGAGUGAUGAACCUUUGUGUGCAACGAACCUAGCUCCUUUUGGUAACAAGCUGCCAGCGAGUUUUCACGGGACGAAGCUGAAUAAAGAACGCCCUGUAGUUUAAAA